rnacentral:tRNA from 1 species
GUGAAUUCACGCCAAAGUGCAAAUUUGGAGGAGUACCCUAAAAGGUACCGGGGCUU